AAAUUCCUUAUAUUGCAGAUAACACCUUAAGGAAGGUUUGUUUUUGUUUUACAGGUUAACUGUGGUGGUAAAUUUUAUCACUUGGCUGAUUCUAUUAUUUUGAGCAAGGCUUCCUAAAGUCAGAUCAUUGGUCUCUCUCUCAAGUAACUUAGGUUUGAAAAAGCAGCUUCUCCAGUCAGCAUCUUACCCUUCUCACUACUCAGCAAAUCCACAAAUAGAAACGAGUCGUUGCUUCGGAAGCCUUGUUCAAAAUCAGAGUAUCAGCCAUGUGAUAAAAUUAACAACCAGAGUUAACAUAUAAAACUAAAACAAUCCUUCCUUAAGUUGUUGUUGCUUAAUUUGGGAAUUU